rnacentral:misc_RNA from 1 species
UCUUGCACUUGUAAGUCCAACACAAGCAUCCACAAAAUCGUCAUCAAUGAAAUCCGUCGACAAAACCUGCAACCUAUCGGCGACGCCCUUCGCGAAGCUUUGAUUAAUAAACAACCGAGCAAAUUUAUGGAUCCUCCUCGUCACCGGCUUCACACACAAAAUUGGGUUAUCGGCCUUCGGCGUCACCGUAUUCUCCACUCUGUAAAAGUAUUUCCUCUUCGUCACCGGCGGCUGCUCCGACAAGAAUUUCAAAUUACUCUCAAAUUUCGUCGACGGCAGAUCCGUGUCGAUCCAAUUAUCCUUCAAAUACCCACCGCUCCACAGCGGAUCGCCGGCCUUCGGCGCCGGCGAUUUUCUCGGCUUCCAAAUGCAGAUCACCCUCUUCGGCAACAAUUCCGCAAUCGUCUUCUCAAACACCCGAUCAUCGUUAUGGAUUAAAUACUCGCCGAGUUGUUCGACAAUGUACUUGUCGAAAUCGGGUGGAUCCUCGUGGCCAAACUCUGUUCGGAUCUCGACGAUUAUGAUUUCCGAUAGCGUUUCGGCGAGGAAUUUCUUUAUAUCGGCAAAAACGACGUCGACGCUGUACGUUGAGAGGAUUCCAUGGCAGACUAACCGAUUUUCUUGAAUCCGAAUGUCGAGAAGGCGCGUGCCUAACGCGAGCUGCUCGUAAAUGGAGAGUGAUUGGCACUGGGCGAAAGGG